UAAUGCAUUUCUUAGAAAUAACAUACAGAGCUAUGUUGUAGUAGUCUAUGUUGACAAAUUGUAGCACAGAUGUCAUCUCCAAGCAUCAUUUGACAAUGAUAGACAGAAAAUGUUAAUUAUACAGAAUGCGGAAGUAUAUCAAACGAUAGCGAUAGGGAGAUCCUUUUUUCCCGAAUGGAAUGAAGGUUAUUCAAGUGAAAAACAUGAAAUGUACUUCCAUCUAUAUGCGAACAAGAACUAUCUGAAGUGCCUCGUCAUUGUACGUCAUGUAUUCUCUAGUAUUUUAGUCGUUUAUGCUACUAGUCUGAAACGUGAUGUGUUAUACUAUAUGAAUAAAUUUCAAAAUAUGAAUCAAGUGUUUGGUUUUAAAUAGUCUUUAUCUUCCGAAGGUCGUACUGGAAUGCUAAUCAAUACAAUACAUUUCUAGGAUGGUCUAUGUUGCCAUCUUGUAGUACCGAAUCCAAGUUGUAGAUAAUUAACAUGAGGAGAAGUAUCAAAUCUAAAUGUACUGUAAAUGUGUUUGGUGUGGUCAUCGAUGUGCUUUAUGUUCGUCUUAUUGUUAUUGUUCUGAGAUCU